AUCAUAAUAACUUAACGAAUCGAUGGCUUGGCGCGGGAUGGUUCAUUCAAAUUUCUGGCCUAUCAACUUUCGAUGGUAGGAUAGAGGCUACCAUGGGGAUCAAGCGGGUAACGGGGAAUUAGGGUUCGAUUCCGGAGAGGGAGCCUGAGAAACGGGUACCAAAUCCAAGGAAGGCAGCAGGCGCGCAAAUUAACCAAUCCCGACACGGGGAGGUAGUGACAAUAAAUACUGAUACAGGGCUCUCUUUGGGUCUCUGUAAUUCGGAAUGAGUCACAAUUUAAAUCCCUUAACGAGGAACAAUUGGAGGGCAAGUCUGGUGCCAGCAGCGCGGUAAUUCCAGGUCCAAUAGCGUAUAUUAAAGUUGUUGCAGUUAAAAAGCUCGUAAUUGAAUCUUAGGCCUGGUUGGACGGUCUGGCUUU
rnacentral:rRNA from 1 species